GACGAACGCUGGCGGCGUGCCUAAUACAUGCAAGUCGAGCGGAGUUAGUUGAAAGCUUGCUUUCAAUUAACUUAGCGGCGGACGGGUGAGUAACACGUGGGUAACCUGCCCCUUAGACUGGGAUAACAUUCGGAAACGGAUGCUAAUACCGGAUACACAACUUGGUCGCAUGGCCGAGUUGGGAAAGACGGAGCAAUCUGUCACUAAGGGAUGGACCUGCGGCGCAUUAGCUAGUUGGUGAGGUAACGGCUCACCAAGGCGACGAUGCGUAGCCGACCUGAGAGGGUGAUCGGCCACACUGGGACUGAGACACGGCCCAGACUCCUACGGGUGGCAG
rnacentral:rRNA from 1 species